ensembl:lncRNA
GCUUCCCAAAGAACUAAAGACUCUUUGGAGAUGUGAAUAAUGCAGCAUUUUUGGGUACACGAGAUUAACAUGAGAUUGGGCAAAACUCUGUGUGUUAUGUCCCCUUUAAUGCAUUCAAACAAUGUAAACACUUCCCCACUGAUGCAUUAUUGUCUGUUAUCAGGCUGCUAUAUUGUAUGGAAGCCCGUUUCCGCCAUAACAUCCACAAAAAACAAAAAAAAGACUUACUGACACAUGCACAACACAAGAGUGACAGCACGCUAGCGACAUCUGUUGGUCAAAGCCAUGCACGAACACCGCAAACAUUGCUUGUUCUGUAAUCUAAAGUGGAUAAUGCUAUAAUCUUUCAUUAAAUAAUGAUUUCAGAUAGUUUAUCUGUAUGUAAUCCUUAAUUUGUAGCACUUACCAACAAGUUACUCUGCCAGCAUGAUAGUUCAUGGCUUCAGAUAUAGAAGAAUAUAUUCCAACAUAAUCACACACAUUUUAUGAAGAUACAUAUCUAUGCUUCAGCGUCCCACACCGCUUCUUGCAUGUGGAUGUGCUUAAUGUCGCUUAAAGUACAAUGACAAAUUCAGGAUACAAUAUUACUGAUCAUGCAUACAGGCAAGAAUAAAAGCCCAGAAUUUGAACACAACACCCAAAGUUGCACGUUAAGCGUUUUCCUAUAGAAAACCAUUACAGAAAAUGCAUAAGCGUUGCUGUUUUGUGUUGCAUUCAUAUUUUGGGUCCACCUGAAUGCCUAUAUAUACAAUACGGAUGUUCAUUAAUUUCUGUACUGAAUUUGGUUCAAUCUGUCUUUGUACUUCAAGCCACGUUAAGCAUUUUUCAAGUUAAGAGUUUGUCCUGCAAGAAGUGGGAUGCUGAAGACCAAGAGGUUGCUGUGGUAAUGUACAACGAUGCUUUGUGCUUUUGAAAUGAGAUGGCUUACUGGAUGAACAUUGUACAGGUAUGCAUGUGAUGCAUGAAAGGGACAGCUAAUAAAACUAAUAAAUCAUAGAAAUAAACAUCUAUAAAUUAAGUUUAUAUGUGUAAUGGCUUUCAUUUCUUCAUAAAAUGCC